GUUGUCCUUGUCUUUGGGGAGCAUAGUAUACGAUGAUCGUAUAGUGAGGAUACUGAUGCUGAAACCCAUUUAAACGUUUUAUCGCAUCCGUGCCAACACUUUGCUGUUUGUACGCGAUGCAAUUUUUGGCAGC